GCCAGUGCGGUAUAGUGGUUUGUGUGUUGAACUAGGACCCUCAGAGUCCAGGGUUCGAAUCCCUACUUAGCCA